GCUGGGGAACCAAAAGGCCAAUCGUACUUGCUUUUUAGGCCAUUCUAUUGAGUGUGAUUUAGCUAAUGAACUUAAGCUUAUCCAUUUCUAGUUUUGAGUAUUUGUUAGACAACCUUCGCCUCAUGCUUAUUGAGCACAUAGCCUUUUGCACUAUGGAUGCCUAGCUUUAGGUAUUCAUUAGGAUGCCUAAAGUCUGGACAUCAUAUAUUUCAUCAUUGCUGGCUGUUGUUU
rnacentral:misc_RNA from 1 species